rnacentral:lncRNA from 10 species
GCCUCAAGUAAGGGACUUUUGUACCAUGAUGUUAAAAUAUUUUACACUGUUAAUCCUUGUAAAUCUUAAGAAACUAUGCUAUAGUCAAAGAUUCUUUGAAAUAGUACUUAUGUCAAGAAGUCCCACACUUGUUGAUCAUUGCCAACCCCACCAGAUGAGACAGAAAAUUUGAAGGUGACUGGAACGGAGAAGAAUGUCCUUCCUCAGUUAUGAGAUGGAACUGGAGUCCCACAGAAACACCAGAGAAGCCUUACCUCACCACCAACCAUUGGACAAAACAUCCAGACAGAAAAUCAAUAUGGAAACAUGGAAUUUAAUCUACAUUCUAGAGCAAAAGGAACUAACAGACCUGUACAGAACAUCGCAUAUACCACAUGCAGAAUACACACUCUACUCAAAAAUCAAUAGAGGCUCAUAGACCGAGGACUGCCUUGUCUCAGAUGGGACUUUGGACCUGGACUUUUGGGUUAAUGCUGCAAUGAGGUAAGACUUUGGGGGACUCUUGGAAGGCAUGAUUGGCUUUGAAAUGUGAGGGCAUGAGAUUUGGGAGGGGCCAGAGGUAGAGUGAAAUGGUUUGGCUCUGUGUCCCCACCGAAAUUUCACCUUGAAUUGUAAUAAUCCCCACGUGUUGUGGGAGGGACUCAGUGGGAUGUAAUUGAAUCAUGGGGGUGGGUUUCUUUGUGCUGUUCUCAUGAUAGUGAAUAAGUCUAAAAAGGAGAGUUCCCCUGCAUAUGCUUUCUUGCCUGCUGUCAUGUAAGUCAUCACUUUGGUCUUCCUUGAUCUUCAGCCAUGAUUGUGAGGCCUCCCCAGUCGUGUAGAACUGUGAGUCCAUUAAACCUGUUUCCUUUAUAAAUUACCAGUCUCACAUAUGUCUUUAUUAGCAGUAUGAGAAAGGACUGAUACACUAACAAAUUGUUUGUUAAAGUUAUAAAAAUGACACUUUCACCAAUGAAUAUGAAACUUCCAUUUGUUACAAAUCAAUUCCACAAUUUGUUUUUAUAUCUGUGUGUGCGUGUGUGUGUGUGCACGUGUCCACAGUGUGUUUUUAAUGCCACACAUUAGGUUCCCUGGAAAAUGGACUCUAGGAUGUAGAUUUGUAGUCAGGCACUCAUAAAAUCUUACCUCCUUUAUCUCUAAAGUAGGUUAGAUAGGAGAGGUUUGGGAAUAAAGGGAAGUUGAACAGAUUUUCAAGUACCAUAAAGGCCUCAGCCAAUAUUACAAGGUUACUCUGCAGCUGGGAAGGCACUUCAUAAUACUAUCUGUCUGGGAUGAGGGUGCUGGACCUUUGUAACCUGGAGACUUUGGACAAACUGUAUCUCUUCAGCAAAAAGGAAGCCCCAGAUAUGGAUUCAUCUAUGAGAUCUUCAUCAAGCACAGUGUAGGAGAAGCAUCACGAUGGCACAUCAUAACAAUCAUAUUCCACAUCUUUAUUCCUAAAAUUGUUUCUCAAUUCAAGUGAUUUCAUAGAAAAAGUUCUAGGAUUAUCCUCCAAGAUUCUAUUUGCCACUUUUCUUAGAAAAACCUUGCAAAAGAAAUGUAAAAUGAACUAAAGUUUAUGCCAUUCCAACUGCGUUCAAGGCUAUAAAUGAUACUCCUAGUCUACCUCCUCUCUCACUCAUUCUAGAUUACAUUGACUUCUGGUGGCAGUCCCGAGUAUCUAUGUUGUUAUCUGUAGGUUGAUGAAGAUUCUCAUUUCUUAGGUAUCUAAUCCCAAAUCAUCAUGCUUUUCUUGGAUCAUAGCUACUGCACUUUUUCAUUUACCUUGACAAUUUGUCAAAGGUUUAUUGAAAGAUUUCUAAGUUAUUAUCUUGGUACCAUACUCUACCCCUUCCCAUUGAGUAACAUCAGCCUGACUUCACUCUAAUGACUGGAGUCAAUUUUCCAAGCUAGGAUUGAGACUCUACUCUUUCCCUGUCCUGGUCCCUUGGCAUCUAGUUGCUGAUUUGACUGGGUGGCAUUAUAACUUGAAAUUUAAACAGAACUUUGUUAUGCAUUAUAAUUGAAACAUUAUCCCUCUAAGAGUCUAGACUUCCAAACUCCAGAGUCUAAAGUUGUAGAUCCAGUAUUCAGUCUCAUGAAUAUGGCCAUAGCUCCUACAUAUAUUUCUAAGGUAGGUCCUGUAGAAGUAUUAUCUUCUUUUUCACAUUUACUAUAA